CUCAAUGAGAAUAGGAGAGAAUGCCACACACAGCCUGCUCGUGUGUCCAUGUUCGACCACAGGGGUAAGGGAGUUAUUUCUGGUACAGAGCUCCUUCAUCCUUCCAGACAGAAGGUCCUAACAAGGGACUGAAAUAUGGCCCAGAAAUAAAAAUGGAGGUUAUCUAAUUGAGAUGUUAUUAUUUGAGGAACAAGGAGGAAUGUGGACUAUGUCAGAAGAUCAAGUUGCAGCAUGUGAAGAACUAUGUCCUGCCUGAGUGUCCCAGGAUGCUGGAGAAAGCAAACAAGAGAGAGACAACAAUCUGGCUCUGGAGAACUACAUCUGUCUCUCAUCAAAAAAUGUAAAGGGGAGUGCUCUUCACCUUAAAAUGCUCAAGCUGUUUUGCUGGUGGUGAUGAAUUCCGAUCCUGUCCAUCCUUUCCAGCACACCCCAAGUGGCCAAGCCUAGCCAACUCCAAGGUUAGAGUCCACUCCAGUUGCCAAAAUGUGUUUAUGUAUCUAAUCAAGUAACUUAAUUAACUCAAGAGUAUCUUCUUUUGGUCUCUUUAUCAUUAUCCAACAUAUUCUACGAUUCUUGCCAGCCACCAAAAAAUAAUGCCUUUUAAAAAGU